CACCGCGGUUAUACGAAAGGCCCAAAUUGAUAGAUGUCGGCGUAAAGGGUGGUUACGAUUUAUUUGAAAUAAAGCCAAAUGCCUUCAAAGCUGUAAUACGCACCCGAAGGUGAGAAGCCCAACUACGAAAGUGGCUUUACAAAAUCGGACCCCACGAAAGCUGUGACA
rnacentral:rRNA from 1 species